rnacentral:lncRNA from 1 species
GAAAGCGGAUAGAGCAGCAAGAAUGGCGGCAAAGAGGAGCGAGAGAGAAAUAGCCAUGGAAAUGAUGAGGUGGCGGUGGGAAGUCCCGGAGGAAGGAGUGUGAGGGAAAAGAAGAGAGGAAAUGUUGGCCGGAAAAGUAGCUAGAGUUGAAACAGAAGGAGGAGGAGGGGGAGAAGGAAAAGAAGGAAAGAAAGGUUUCUGUGGCGUGUUUGGUGUAGUCGAGAAAGGGUACUUAGGUUGCGUCUGGGGUUUAGGUUGUAUUUGUGGAGAAGGAAAAGGAGCUUGGAUUGGAGGAACUACAUUAGUUAAAGGAAAAAAAGGUUGGUGAAGGAGAUGACGAUGAUGGUGGUGGCUGCCGGAGACAGCGGUGGUGAAG